UUUAGCUAGGAUGAUAAAUGUUUUUAAUCCCAGCUCAUUAUGAGACCUUUUGUAGGUCUGGGAAUUGACAUAAUCCUACAUUUAUCUGAGCUUCCA
rnacentral:snoRNA from 1 species